UAGUAACGGCGAGUGAAGAGGGAAAAGCUCAAAUUUUGAAUCUGGUGCCUUUGGCCCCCGAGUUGUAAUCUAGAGAAGUGUUUUCCGUAGCAGACCGUGUAAAAGUUCCCUGGAACGGGACGUCAUAGAGGGUGAGAAUCCCGUAUAUGGCAUGGAAUACCAAUGCUCUGUGAUACACUCUCAACGAGUCGAGUUGUUUGGGAAUGCAGCUCAAAAUGGGUGGUAAAUUCCAUCUAAAGCUAAAUAUUGGCAAGAGACCGAUAGCGAACAAGUACCGUGAGGGAAAGAUGAAAAGCACUUUGGAAAGAGAGUGAAACAGUACGUGAAAUUGUUGAAAGGGAA
rnacentral:rRNA from 1 species